rfam:Ciona savignyi cont_26874, whole genome shotgun sequence.
GUCUCUGUGGCGCAAUUGGUUAGCGCGUUCGGCUGUUAACCGAAAGGUUGCUGGUUCAAGCCCAGCCAGGGGACG